rnacentral:rRNA from 1 species
AAUGGGCGCAAGCCUGAUCCAGCCAUGCCGCGUGAGUGAUGAAGGCCUUAGGGUUGUAAAGCUCUUUCAGCAGGGAAGAUAAUGACGGUACCUGCAGAAGAAGCCCCGGCUAACUCCGUGCCAGCAGCCGCGGUAAUACGGAGGGGGCUAGCGUUGUUCGGAUUUACUGGGCGUAAAGCGCGCAUAGGCGGCUUGCCAAGUUGGAGGUGAAAGCCCAGGGCUCAACCCUGGAACUGCCUUCAAAACUGGCUCGCUAGAGACCGGGAGAGGUGAGUGGAAUUCCCAGUGUAGAGGUGAAAUUCGUAGAUAUUGGGAAGAACACCAGUGGCGAAGGCGGCUCACUGGACCGGUACUGACGCUGAGGCGCGAAAGCGUGGGGAGCAAACAGGAUU